AAUAUUGCGCAAGGGAGGAAACUCUGACGCAGCGACGCCGCGUGAGCGAUGAAGGUCUUCGGAUCGUAAAGCUCUGUCUAUGGGGACAAAGACCGAAAGAUUUGACGGUACACGAGGAGGAAGCCCCGGCUAACGACGUGCAAGAAGCCGCGGUAAUACGUAGGGGGCAAGCGUUGUCCGGAAUUAUUGGGCGUAAAGGGUGCGUAGGCGGCUUUUUAAGUCAGAUGUGAAAGACCACGGCUUAACCGUGGGGUUGCAUUUGAAACUGGAAGGCUUGAGUAUCGGAGAGGGUAGUGGAAUUCCCAGUGUAGCGGUGAAAUGCGUAGAUAUUGGGAGGAACACCAGUGGCGAAGGCGACUACCUGGACGAAAACUGACGUUGAUGCACGAAAGCUAGGGGAGCAAACA
rnacentral:rRNA from 1 species